rnacentral:rRNA from 1 species
CCCUUAGAUGUUCUGGGCCGCACGUGCGCUACACUGAUGCAUUCAACGAGUCUAAAACCUGGUCUGAUAGGGCUGGGUAAUCUUUUGAAAGUGCAUCGUGAUUGGGAUAGAUGAUUGCAAUUCUUCAUCUUCAACGAGGAAUGCCUAGUAAACGCAAGUCAUCAGCUUGCAUUGAUUACGUCCCUGCCCUUUGUACACACCGCCCGUCGCUCCUACCGAUUGAAUGAUCCGAUGAAUACCAUGGAUUGAGAGUACGAAUGGGUUCGCUCAUUUCUGCUGCUCGAGAAGUGGAGUAAAUCUUAUCAUUUAGAGGAAGGAGAAGUCGUAACA